CUCUCGCUCUAUCCAGAACUUGUCGCUGUUUCAUGAUGGUUUUAUCUUUAAUGUGUGGGACACACCUCUGAAAAUAGCAUAUAUGAUCCGUUUGUUUCCAGGGAAAAUUAGCCCAGAAAAUUUCUUCUCAAACAAUUUUUGCAAAAAAAUGAUGGGUGGUAAUUUUUUCGGAAUCCAAAUUGGAUAAAGGCCUGAAUUAGAAGUGGCCUUGGCUUGUCCACUUCCACGCUCUCUCUCUCUUUUUGCAUCUGUAGCUCUUCCGUUUUCCACGCUGAAUAUACUAAAUUUUUGAUGAUACUGUUCCGAUUUGGCGGCCAUUGAUGCGAAGCUUCAUCGCCUUCUUCAUUUGACGCCCAUUUCGAUUUCUCAAGCUCUUGCGAUCUUGGUUUUUGAAGGGAUUUGUUGUUGGUAAGCUAUGGAUUCUGCAAUUCAGGCUUCGCCUUCUCCGGCUUCGUCUUCUGCAUUUCGUAGUCCAUGUCUCACUUCUGCUUCUCAGAACUGCAAAUUUCCCUUGCCAACUUCCAGAGUAUCAGCUUCCUCUAAAAGAAUGCAUCGUGGGUUCAGGCUCCAUAUGGAUGCUUCUCCCAAUUACAACAUCUCCAAAAAUCAUGUAGUUUCCAAAUACUCUUCAGAAUGGCCUGAAUCACAAUCCAUAUUCUCUAAGCAAUCACUCAACAAGUAUUUUUCGCCUCUGAGAGCAUUGGUUGCUUCAAACACUCAAGAUAUUCCUGCUACACCUUUAACUGGAGAUGACAAGGUUGGAGUGCUGUUGCUUAAUCUUGGAGGUCCAGAGACUCUUGAUGAUGUGCAGCCUUUCUUGUUUAACCUCUUUGCCGACCCGGAUAUAAUACGAUUGCCACGGUUGUUCCGGUUCCUCCAAAGACCGUUGGCACACUUUAUUUCAGUUCUAAGAUCGCCCAAGAGUAGAGAAGGCUAUGCCUCAAUUGGUGGCGGUUCUCCUCUGCGAAAGAUUACCGAUGCUCAGGCUGAAGAAUUAAAGAAGGCCUUAUGGCAAAAAGAUGUUCCAGCUGAAGUGUAUGUUGGUAUGCGAUACUGGCAUCCGUUCACUGAAGAAGCAAUCGAACAGAUAAAAAAAGACAGGAUAACAAAGCUUGUUGUUCUUCCUCUUUAUCCCCAAUUUUCAAUAUCCACCAGUGGUUCAAGCCUCCGGCUCUUGGAGGGCAUCUUCCGGGAGGACGAAUACCUAGUUAACAUGCAACAUACGGUAAUACCUUCCUGGUACCAGCGUGAAGGAUAUAUAAAGGCCAUGGCAGAUUUGAUUGAAAAGGAAUUAAAAAGUUUCGACUUUCCCGAGCAGGUAAUGGUAUUUUUUAGUGCACAUGGAGUCCCCCUUGCUUACGUGGAAGAGGCUGGUGACCCGUAUAAAGCAGAGAUGGAGGAAUGUGUGGAUCUGAUUAUGGAGGAAUUAGAAAAGAGAAGGAUAACAAAUAACUACACCCUUGCUUAUCAGAGUAGAGUUGGACCCGUGGAGUGGUUAAAACCUUAUACGGAUGACACAAUAAUAGAGCUUGGGCAAAAAGGAGUUAAAAGCUUGCUGGCUGUACCCAUUAGCUUUGUAAGCGAGCAUAUCGAGACGUUGGAAGAAAUUGAUGUGGAAUAUAAAGAACUUGCUUUAAAAUCUGGAGUAGAAAAAUGGGGACGUGUUCCAGCGUUAGGAUGUGAGCCUACUUUCAUAACAGAUUUGGCUGAUGCUGUAAUUGAGAGUCUUCCAUAUGUCGGGGCCAUGGCUGUCUCGAAUCUUGAAGCUCGCCAGCCCUUGGUUCCACUUGGUAGUGUGGAAGAGUUACUAGCAGCAUAUGAUUCGCAACGUAGGCAGCUACCGCCACCUGUAACCGUAUGGGAAUGGGGUUGGACGAAAAGUGCGGAAACAUGGAAUGGAAGAGCAGCAAUGCUGGCUGUACUUGUCUUGCUGGUCCUAGAAGUCACAACUGGAGAGGGGUUUCUUCACCAAUGGGGAGUUUUCCCCUUAUUUCAUCAAUGAUCUCUCUCUCCCUCCACAAUUGCACUUGGCCAACGUGGUAGCAAUUUCUCUACUAAAACGCCGACAGCUGGUCGUCUGAAAAUUCGAUCUCUCAAUGAGGGUAUCAAUUCAGGUUCACUCGACCAAAACACAAGCCAAGGCAAAGCUUAUGAAAGGAAUAAAAGGGUAUCAAUUCAGGUUCUCUCUCUCUCUAUCUCUCUCUAUCUCUCUCUUCUUUCUGUAUAUCAAAUAAUUGGUUUUGCUGAAGUGAGUGUAUGAUGAUGCUUUUGAGGUGUAAAAACUAUAAAGUGGUAUAACUAAAGGUAGUAACUUGUAGUUGAAUAUACUGUUUUUCUCUAUCUACCUGUAUUUGUAGAGCA